rnacentral:rRNA from 1 species
CGUGUAGGCGGUUUAAUAAGUCAGAUGUUAAAGCCCCCGGCUUAACCGGGGAUGGUCAUUUGAAACUGUUAGGCUUGAGUGCGAGAGAGGGUAGUGGAAUUCCCAGUGUAGCGGUGAAAUGCGUAGAUAUUGGGAAGAACACCAGUAGCGAAGGCGGCUACCUGGCUCGCAACUGACGCUAAUGCGCGAAAGCGUGGGGAGCAAACA